AGUGAACGCUGGCAGUAGGCCUAACACAUGCAAGUCGAACGGCAGCACAGGAGAGCUUGCUCUCUGGGUGGCGAGUGGCGGACGGGUGAGGAAUACAUCGGAAUCUACUUUGUCGUGGGGGAUAACGCAGGGAAACUUGCGCUAAUACCGCAUACGACCUACGGGUGAAAGCAGGGGAUCUUCGGACCUUGCGCGAUUGAAUGAGCCGAUGUCGGAUUAGCUAGUUGGCGGGGUAAAGGCCCACCAAGGCGACGAUCCGUAGCUGGUCUGAGAGGAUGAUCAGCCACACUGGAACUGAGACACGGUCCAGACUCCUACGGGAGGCAGCAGUGGGGAAUAUUGGACAAUGGGCGCAAGCCUGAUCCAGCCAUACCGCGUGGGUGAAGAAGGCUUUCGGGUUGUAAAGCCCUUUUGUUGGGAAAGAAAAGCAGCCGGUUAAUACCCGGUUGUUCUGACGGUACCCAAAGAAUAAGCACCGGCUAACUUCGUGCCAGCCGCCGCCGUAA
rnacentral:rRNA from 1 species